CCUGUGUACCUACUACGUCCCUUCUC
rnacentral:piRNA from 1 species